AUGCUUCUCCUCAAGAAACACGUCCUCCUCCUCUCUCUCCGUCCCCGCGCCACAAGUGCCAUACUCGCGUUCCGCCACCGAUGCCUCUUCUCCAACACCCGAUUCGCCGCCACCGCCGCCGUGGCAGCGUCGGCUAGCCCUGCUCCGUUCGCCAUGGAGGACUACCUCGUCACGUCUUGCCACCUCACCCUGGCGCAGGCCGUCAAGGCCUCCAAGGUCCUCUCCCGCCUCAAGUCCCCCUCCAAGCCCGAGGCCGUCCUCGCCUUCCUCUCCGACCUCGGCCUCUCCGACGCCGACGUCGCCGCCGUCGUCGUGUACGACCCUCUCCUCCUCUGCUCCGAGGUCGACAAGACCCUGGCCCCGCGCCUCGCCGAGCUCCGGGACCUCGGGCUCUCCCCGUCCCAGAUCGCCCGCCUCGUCCUGGUCGACCCCGCCCGCUUCCGCCGCCCCACCAUCAUCUCCAAGCUGCAGUACUACGUCCCCCUCUUCGGCUCCUUCGAGAACCUCCUCCAGGCGCUCAAGUACAACUCCUACCUCCUCAGCUCCGACCUGGAGAACGUUGUCAAGCCCAACGUCGCGCUCCUCCGGGAGUGCGGGUUAGGUGACUGUGAUAUUGCCAAGCUAUGCAUCCCCGUGCCGAGGCUGCUCACCAGCAAGCCAGAGCGCAUCCAGGCCAUGGUGGCGCGUGCCGAAGAUGUCGGUGUGCCCCGUGGCUCUGCGAUGUUCAGGCACGCGCUGCUGGCUGUUGCAUUCCUCAGCGAGGAGAAGAUUGCUGCUAAGGUGGAGUUCCUGAAGAAGACAUUCAGGUGGUCGGAAGCUGAGGUGGCCAUUGCUGUUGCCAAGCUUCCGGUGGUGCUGAGGAACUCCCAGGAGAGGCUGCUGCGCAUGUCGGAAUUCUUGAUGUCGGAGGUUGGGUUAGAGCCGGAGUACAUUGCUCACAGGCCGGCAAUGCUCGCUUGUAGCUUAGAGGCUCGGCUCAAACCUCGGUACUAUGUUGUGAAGUUUCUUAAAGAACAUGGAUUGCUAAAGCCUAACCGAAGCUUCUACACCGCAGCCCAGGUGAGCGAGAAGGUAUUCGUGGAGAAGUUCAUACGUCCUCACAAGGAAGCUGCGCCUCGCCUCGCUGAAGACUAUGCUGCCACUCUCAAAGGGGAAGUGCCCACUAGAUUCAGAUUGCAAUAA
rnacentral:rRNA from 1 species